CCGAGAAAAGCUUCGGCGUGAGGCGGCGUGCCGCCCGUACCCCAAACCGACACUGGUGGUCAGGUAGAGAAUACCAAAGCGAUCGAGCGAAUCCUGGUCAAGGAACUCGGCAAAUCACUCCCGUUCCUUCGGUUUAAGGGAGACCCCCGAUGGUGAAGCGGCUUGCCCGUGGAGCUUUUGGGGGUGGCACAGACCAGGGGGUAGCGACUGUUUACCAAAAACACAGGAGCGUGCGAAGGCGCAAGCCGCUGUAUACGCUCUGACGCCUGCCCGGUGCCGGAAGGUUAAGAGGAUCCGUCAGGCUUCGGCCGAAGCGGUGAAUUCAAGCCCCGGUAAACGGCGGUGGUAACUAUAACCAUCCUAAGGUAGCGAAAUUCCUUGUCGGGUAAGUUCCGACCUGCACGAAUGGCGUAACGACUUCCCCACUGUCUCGACCAGGAGCUCGGCGAAAUUGCAGUACGAGUAAAGAUGCUCGUUAAGCGCAGAAGGACGAAAAGACCCCGGGACCUUUACUAUACCUUGGUAUUGGCAUUCGGUGUGGAUUGUGUAGCAUAGGCGGAAGGCUUCGAAGCCACGGCGCCAGCCGCGGUGGAGCCGCAAGGUGAAAUACCGCUCUGUUCGCAUUGGAUGUCUAACCUCGACCAGUCAUCCUGGUCAGGGACAGUGCCUGGCGGGUAGUUUAACUGGGGCGGUUGCCUCCCAAAGAGUAACGGAGGCGCUCAAAGGUUCCCUCAGCCCGGUUGGCAAUCGGGUGGCGAGUGUAAGUGCACAAGGGAGCUUGACUGCGAGACUGACGGGUCGAGCAGGGACGAAAGUCGGAACUAGUGAUCCGGUGCCGGUGUACGGACGCGGCAUCGCUCAACGGAUAAAAGGUACCCCGGGGAUAACAGGCUGAUCAUUCCCAAGAGUCCAUAUCGACGGGAUGGUUUGGCACCUCGAUGUCGGCUCGUCGCAUCCUGGGGCUGGAGCAGGUCCCAAGGGUUCGGCUGUUCGCCGAUUAAAGCGGCACGCGAGCUGGGUUCAGAACGUCGUGAGACAGUUUGGUCUCUAUCCUCUGCGCUCGUCGGAAUGUUGAGGAGGCCUGCCCAUAGUACGAGAGGACCUGGGUGGACGAACCUCUGGUAUGCCGGUUGUCACGCCAGUGGCACGGCCGGUUGGCUACGUUCGGAAGGGAUAACCGCUGAAAGCAUCUAAGCGGGAAGCCUGCUCCAAGAUAAGCAUUCCAUAGGACUACGGGUCCUUGAAGUCCCCAUGCAGAACACGUGGUUGAUAGGCCGGACGUGGAAGCCCCGCGAGGGGUGGAGCCGACCGGUACUAACGGACGAAAGGCAACACAA
rnacentral:rRNA from 1 species